rnacentral:rRNA from 1 species
CUACGGGGGGCUCCAGUGAGGAAUAUUGCACAAUGGGGGGAACCCUGAUGCAGCAACGCCGCGUGGAGGAUGACGCAUUUCGGUGUGUAAACUCCUUUUAUAUGUCAAGAAAAUGACGGUAGCAUAUGAAUAAGCACCGGCUAACUCCGUGCCAGCAGCCGCGGUAAUACGGAGGGUGCAAGCGUUACUCGGAAUCACUGGGCGUAAAGGACGCGUAGGCGGGUUGGAAAGUCAGGUGUGAAAUCCUACAGCUUAACUGUAGAACUGCACUUGAAACUUCUAAUCUAGAGUAUGGGAGGGGAGAUGGAAUUAGUGGUGGAGGGGUAAAAUCCGUAGAUAUCACUAGGAAUACCUAAAGCGAAGGCGAUCUCCUGGAACAUUACUGACGCUAAGGCGUGAAAGCGUGGGGAGCAAACAGGAUUAGAUACCCGUGUAGUC